CGCGUAGGCGGCUUGGUAAGUCAGAUGUGAAAGCCCGGAGCUCAACCUCGGAAGUGCAUCUGAAACUGCUUGGCUUGAGUAUGGGAGAGGGUAGUGGAAUUCCUGGUGUAGAGGUGAAAUUCGUAGAUAUCAGGAGGAACACCGGUGGCGAAGGCGGCUUCCUGGACCGACACUGACGCUGAGGCGCGAAAGCCAGGGGAGCGAACG
rnacentral:rRNA from 1 species